AACUUGUAAAAGUAUCAAAAUCUAAGUUUUCACUGUUUCAUUGGUUACUAAUAAUCUUAUUUGUCACUUUUUUUAUGAUCGUCAUAUUAGGUUAGUCAAAAAGAUUAAUUAGAUUUGCAAUUUUUCUCAUCAAUUUACAUGUAUAUGUGUAAACAACAAUGUCUGAUCAUAGACAACGAUGGUGAUUAUUUGGUUGAAUUUAUUUCUACUGAAUGCAAUAUACAGGGUUUACCAAAAACAAAAGUAGGGUUUCAAGUAACGCAUUCCAUAGCAAUAUCAGUAUGACCUUGAAGAGCGUUGUCAAAGUUACAUGUAGAUAACUUCCAAUUUCUUAAAUAAAAACUCCCAUUGUUUAUUGCAUA